GACAGGGGAGGGUGGUGGUGGUGGUGGUGGGGUCUGCAUCACGGUUAAAGACAGAGACAGGGGAGGCUGAAAGGGCGGCGAGGCGGAGACAAUAACAACCGCAGAGGCUGUGACGGGAGACUCAUCAUGAGAUGAUGAAUUCUCCAUAUGAAACCACGUUCUCCUCUUUGCUAAAAGCAAUGACUUAAUGGUUACAAGUGAUCCUGGGUGGAAAAAAAGGGGAGAAAGGAUAGGGAAAAAGGGAGGGGAAAAAUGAGCAAGCCUGCGUCUGGCAACGGGAAGUCAUUUGACACCGUCUUUUACAGAUUUUUUUUACUGCAGUUUGUAAAACAAUACUGUGAGGCACAUAAAACGUUAUUGAAAGCCACAAUGAAAGCUAAUGAGAAGCAGCGGAGCAACUCACAAGCUAAAGGCCUCUUGAGAAAAGUCUCUUAGAACAAAGCAACGCUGGACCACGCACAAUUUACUAUUCAAACUGGGAGGAUUUCAAAUAAGAGACGUGAAUACAUA
ensembl:lncRNA